rnacentral:rRNA from 1 species
UAGGGAAUCUUCGGCAAUGGACGAAAGUCUGACCGAGCAACGCCGCGUGAGUGAAGAAGGUUUUCGGAUCGUAAAACUCUAUUGGUAGAGAAGAACGUUGGUGAGAGUGGAAAGCUCAUCAAGUGACGGUAACUACCCAGAAAGGGACGGCUAACUACGUGCCAG